AGAACGAACGCUGGCGGCAUGCCUAACACAUGCAAGUCGAACGUGAUCCGGGCUUCGGCCUGGUGAAAGUGGCAGACGGGUGAGUAACGCGUGGGAACCUGCCCUGUGGUAGGGAAUAACCGCGGGAAACUGCGGCUAAUACCCUAUGAGUCCUUCGGGAGAAAGAUUUAUCGCCAUAGGAGGGGCCCGCGUCGGAUUAGGUAGUUGGUGGGGUAAUGGCUCACCAAGGCGACGAUCAGUAGCUGGUCUGAGAGGAUGAUCAGCCACAUUGGGACUGAGACACGGCCCAAACUCCUACGGGAGGCAGCAGUGGGGAAUAUUGGACAAUGGGCGAAAGCCUGAUCCAGCCAUGCCGCGUGAGUGAUGAAGGCCUUAGGGUUGUAAAGCUCUUUACCCGGAAGAUAAUGACGGUACCGGGAGAAUAAGCCCGGCUAACUUCGUGCCAGCAGCCGC
rnacentral:rRNA from 1 species